UGGAGACAAAGAAAAAGAUGAWGGGUUGACCUUUGGAAAGUGUGCUACCCUGAAAGCCUGGAGAACAUGGACACCAAGAAAGUCUUUCAUUUUGUUCCUUCUGAGCUGCAGGAUGAGGAGCGGGAGGAUUUUGGGGAGGACUCGCCGACUACUAACAAAGAAAGCAUAUAUGAAAAUGAAAUCAGUAUUUCAGAUUCGGAAGGACCUGGAUUUGGACUWUUAAACACAAUAAA